AGAGUUUGAUCAUGGCUCAGAUUGAACGCUGGCGGAAUGCUUUACACAUGCAAGUCGAGCGGCAGCGCGGGGGCAACCCUGGCGGCGAGCGGCGAACGGGUGAGUAAUACAUCGGAACGUGCCCAGUAAUGGGGGAUAACACAGCGAAAGUUGUGCUAAUACCGCAUACGCCCUGAGGGGGAAAGUGGGGGAUCGCAAGACCUCACGUUAUUGGAGCGGCCGAUGUCGGAUUAGCUAGUUGGUGAGGUAAAGGCUCACCAAGGCGACGAUCCGUAGCGGGUCUGAGAGGACGGCCCGCCACACUGGGACUGAGACACGGCCCAGACUCCUACGGGAGGCAGCAGUGGGGAAUUUUGGACAAUGGGGGCAACCCUGAUCCAGCCAUUCCGCGUGAGUGAAGAAGGCCUUCGGGUUGUAAAGCUCUUUCGGCAGGAACGAAACGGUCUUGGUUAAUACCUGAGGCUAAUGACGGUACCUGAAGAAGAAGCACCGGCUAACUACGUGCCAGCAGCCGCGGUAAUACGUAGGGUGCGAGCGUUAAUCGGAAUUACUGGGCGUAAAGCGUGCGCAGGCGGUUUUAUAAGACAGAUGUGAAAUCCCCGGGCUUAACCUGGGAACUGCGUUUGUGACUGUAGACUCGAGUGUGGCAGAGGGGGGUGGAAUUCCACGUGUAGCAGUGAAAUGCGUAGAGAUGUGGAGGAACACCGAUGGCGAAGGCAGCCCCCUGGGUCAACACUGACGCUCAUGCACGAAAGCGUGGGUAGCAAACAGGAUUAGAUACCCUGGUAGUCC
rnacentral:rRNA from 1 species